GAGGUAACACGUAUGCUAUUUGAUAGUUUUAUUUCCGUAGUGUUUCUUCUAGGUGCAGUUUUGGUGCCCUGUAGAAAUUUUCUUCUAGGUACGAUUUGGUCAGAUCUCCUCCUUUUUGCUUUAGCGCUGUGUCCUAUUGGUAGACUUAGGCAUGUGUCUUUUGCUGUUUGUGAUGGGUCCUGGUCAGAUUCAGGUUUUGUCUGGUAUUACUCACCGCUUUGACCUCUUUUCUGACCUGUGUCUCUAUGCAUGUCUCUCUCCUGAUCCCCCGUAUUAUCACGCCUCGCCGUGUUCUGCCUAAAUUCUUCCCGGAACGAGCCCUUCCGUGGCCGGCGGCGCGUCACCGCUUCUUCCUCGGCGACUCCGCGUGGUGUCCGCUUUGGCUCCGCCUCCUUCCUCUCUAGAAUUCGUGUAUGGAGGUCUCGAGCGCCGCUUCCUUUCUCCCUCCUGGCCUCACCUUUUCUCACAAGCAUGAGAGGACGCCCCAAGGACAGAGACAACCCGAUUCCGCGACGAGGAAGACCAUGCGCGCUUGACAGAAUCGAUGCCUGCUGCUCCUGAUCGGUGAGCACUAACUUGCCUCCGGACCGCCCUGCUACCAAGGACGACGCCAUGGGCAAGGUGGGGCGCACGGACGGAUGAGGUCCCGGCGGCGGCCCUCAGGCUUGGCGCUCCAUGAACGGGUAUUCCUCCCGAUGGGGAUAUAGUGGGAGUGGCUAUGGCGGGCGUCUGGCCGCCGCUUCUCUGCCGCGACUUCAACCAGGGGUAUAGUCGUUUUAUCCAGGAGAGAGAAGAGGGGAGGCGGGGGGCAUAAGGAGGGCGCUGUGUUGGCGAACAGAAGGAUAAUUCGCGUCCCCGCCCGAGUUUCCCCAAUCCCCGACCUCUUCUAUCCGAACCCGGAGAUCUCAACUGCACAAGUAGCAGUGAUGGGAGCAGCACGCUGACAGGAGCGACAUCGCGCCGAGUUUCCGAAGCCAGCCAAGGCAUGGCGGCGGCGCGCCGACCUGGCCACCGCGCGACCUCGGGAGGAAGUUGGAGUGGCGGGUGGCGGCGAUGCUGUCGGCACUGAGACCAGACGGCGAGUAGGGAGCAGCGACCUGGUUUUCCUAGAUUGCAUCUACACGAUUCUCGCCGUGUCGCCGUGGUCGCCGUCGCUUCAGGGCAUGUGGGUUACCUCCAAUGCAGCGGUCCUACAAUAGUCUCUAUCUCAGGUUGCAGACGAGCAAGGAAGCGGAUGCGGGCACGAUGACGGGCUCCAUCCACAAAGUCCCUGUCGACACCUUCACCAUCCUCCCCCCGUCCUGAGUUGCUGCUUACCCCAAAAUCUUCCCCGCCGGAUCUCUCCCCUGCCGUGAGAGCCCCCUGGCCGGCGGCCGUGGCAUCGGUCGGGUCCUCCUCUGUCUCUGAGGCUCUCCUGCCGUCCCGUGCUCUGGCUUCUCCCAUACAUCUCCUCACCUGGACGGCGGUCUGCGACCUGCUGGUUGGUUCGCUAUGUGGGGACUGGAUGGCCAGCAGCGCCGCCGCCUGCUCUGAGUCUGGGGGCGCGGCGUUUUGUCAUUGUGUGGACCACCCGGACGACGACCAGGAGUCCAGGAUGCAUACAACUCUGUCGGCGAGGUGGUGUGCGAAAGACCCAUGGCUGAACCGGUGGGUACAUGUAUCACUGCUAGGACAAUUCAGAUAAUUCGCGUAGCUAAUACUUACUGGGAUAACGAUGGUCAAAGCAUUGAGGCCCAGCGAGUGGCAGAGCUCCUCAUGUGCUAUUUUCCUUUACAAUGUUUUACUAUCAAUGUGUGGAGAAUAAUUAUUUAUAUGACAUUCAUUAUUGAUCCAAAACAUAUCUGAUUUUGUAGAUUCCAUUAUUUAAGUUGAAUAUGAUUAAAAAAAACUAUUUCUAUCCUAUACUUGGCUGUUGUAAAUUUGAUUGUGUUCUUUUUGCAUGUUGUGGUGUCGUAUUUUAGACAACACCGAACAUUUAACUUCCAUUGUCUAAACGUGUUAACAAUAUAUUGUAUGCAGUUCGGUGCUAGGAAAAAAAUUUAAGUACAUGUGGAUAUAUUUUCUAUUAAACCCGCUGAGCAUUAUUGUAUAUGUAUCACUAUUUUUGUAUGCAAGUUCUAUGCUAGGAAAAAAAGCCUUCAUUACAGGUGCACAUACUUGCUCUACUUCAAGAUAGCUUUCCAUUUCUCAUCCAAGUUACUUUGUUAACUCAUCUCUAGCUGAAGUGUUUGGGAGAAGCAAAAGAGUGUAGUCCUUGGAAUUUUGAUUGUCGGUUUACUCAAAGGACUUAAUUCCUAAGUGUUUUCAUGCCUUAGAACACUGAAUGCAUCAUGUUCUCACAUAUGAGUUAUUUGUUCAAACCAAGUUAGUUGUAGCAAAUUAGCAGAAAGGGAUACAUUUACCUCAGAUAAGUUUUCUUCAGAGUCCAUUGCUAUUCUUGCUAUCCGGAGUAGCAACAUGUUAUCAAAAUAUUUUUUCGGGUGGAAGCUCUAGCUUUGUGUCCUCAAGAACAACAUAAUACUUGCAAAAAAUAGGCAAAAACAUCUAAUAAGUCAGCUCCCCCUGUACGCCUCUUUUCGUGGAUCAAAAGGAAGUUGUAAAUUUCCCGUUUUCAUUAGCUAGAUAAAAGUAUAUUGGUUCAACAAAUAGCAAGUGAUAAAAAGUCUCUCUUUUUUGGUCAAAUAAAUUUCUAAGUUCACGAGUUAUUGCUUCUUUGGUUGCAUUCAAAACCUGAAUUUCUAUGGUUUGACCUGCCUUUGGAUAUGCAAACAGCCUUCCUCAGAAUUAUGUCAAAGCAUUUGAAAAGACAGAGAUCAAAACACUGGACAACUUACAUAAGAAUUAGGUUUGGUCAUAUAGGCUGCCAGGUAUAUAUUAUACAGAACAUCUUUACUCUAAUUUCCAUUUUUUAAAUAACCGUUGUUCGAUCAACUCACUACCCCACCUUUAUGUCCGCAUGGUCCAAUCUUAGGUGUUGCACAUGAGUGCUGCUGCCAAAUCUGCUGCUGGCCAUCUACUUGCUCUGUCAUGGUUAGACUGUAACUGGGAUAGAUAAAAUUAUACAGCGCGGGAAAUGUCCUGCACCGUGCUAUUUGUCACAUGUGAUGCUAUUGGGUAAUAUCUAUCCCGGUUAUAACUUCAGAUAUGCUUACACAAUUGCCUAUAACUUAGAGAUUCAGUUAACUUGCAAUUGCCUGUAUAUAUAUACGUUUUUAUGUUCAGUUACUUUAACUACUCUGUCCAAAAAUGUGAUACUUUAGUCCUCUCCUUUUAUAGCCAUUACUUUGCAUGGAACUUUGCAGUUAUCCUCGCUGUCUCUUCCAUCACGUGUUACAGUUUGAAUCAACCAUAUCGUGCCAUAUCAUCUACUCCGUAUUUUGCUUACUGAGCUAUGCAAUCUUUAUUCAUACAAUUAAAAUGGAGGGUUGUGUGCCAGGUAACCAUAAUCGACCUAUCCAGUCGAUAUAUGCAUCAUCCCUGAAGCACGAAGAAAGACCCAAUAAUUUAUUAUGCAUCCUGCCAAUUUUUUAGUGUUACUACAAUACAUAACCGUUUGCACCUCUGGCAGCACACGUUGGAGAUAAUACUCUUCUUUCAGGUGCAGGAAAUGAGAAGAAAACUUCAAGUGAACUAUUCCCAGCUAAAUAGAUCACUGCAUCUUGCGAGGUAAAUUUGUUGGGACAGAUUUCAACUGAACGGUAUAGGCUGCGGUAGAUCAAAUAAAAUUAAUUCAAUCCUCUUUCCCUUGCAGCAAAUAUAAUUAAUCUAGAUCAACUGAACUCCAGCUAAAGGUCAAACAGGCAAGAGCCCAAAUUGAUGAACCAAGUAGUUUAUGUGAAAAAAUAUAUUUUGUCUCAAGGUGUGCCCACAAAUCGUGGUGUAAAAUAUUAAUCACCUAUCUGCCGCUUUAGCUGGGUAUGAAUAGCACACAACUAAUGUAUUUGUUCAUGCCCUAGCAGUGCCAAAGAGGGAAACAAUCAUCAUCUUCUUUUUUGACGAGGACAGUGACACAAGGCACAUACAGGUAGCAGAGCUGGAGAAUAGCUAGAUCACCUUCCUUCUGUUAUCGUAGUGUAGGUCAGAAAUAUUAGAUAAUCUCUCCCCUUCCAAUAUAAAUCC